rnacentral:lncRNA from 1 species
GAAACUCAGUGGGGGCUGCGGUGGCCUUGGACACGGAGCCCUUUGCUCAGCACAACGGGCCAGCCUGGCCGGCUUGGGGGUGGGGGGUAGGGACGGGCAGGGGGUGACAGCGCCCUCCACGAGGCCUGCCUCUGCCCUCCAGGGCCCGGAAACUUCCGGACAGCUGUGCGCUCCCUGCUAUUGCUUUCCGUAAGGGCCACUGCCACACAGUGACCUGGUGGGGAUGAGAAGACGGGGAGCCCCCAGCCCCUGAGCCGGACUCGGAGAGACCUGUGGUGACCAGCUCAGGAAUGGAGCUUCGUCUCUAAAGAUUUCUGUAAGUCCGACAAAUCUGCUACAGCCCAUCACUGCUGACCCGCCUGCUGGCAUCCCAGCCACAGGACUCUGUGUCCAGAGCAGAGCUCCCCUGGAGAUGUCUGCAGUGAGUCCUGGAGCCGCCUUGACGGGGGAGGUAGGAAGCCUCAUCUGUGUGUCUGGUCUGGUACUAAUUAGCUGUGUGACCUUGGGCAUGUCACUUAACCUCUCUGGUCUGUUUACUCUUCCGUUGAAUGGCGUGCCGGAUUAACUCAUUUGGAAGUUCCUUUGAGCACAGAAGUCCGUGAGGAGGGGAGGGCUCCUAGCCCGGUGCCUAGGAGAGAGCAGGCCUUCGA